ensembl:lncRNA
CCUGCAUCCAAACAGGUAUGCACAUCAGGUGGCCAACACAAGCAACGGCCACAGAGCCAACAGCAUCCACUCUUACAAAGAAAAUCAAAGAAAAGGAAAAAAAAAUCUUACAAAGAUCCAGUCCAUUUUAACUAAACCUUCUGUUUAGUUUUGUGAAAUUAAACCACUGUGUUAAGAAGUACUACCAGAGCCUGGUUACCAUUCUGGGAGCCAGAGUCAUGAAGGAGGAAGGUGCCAAACACCUCUCACAGUGUAAAACAGCACAGCUCAAGCUGGAGAAGGACUUCACAGAAAUUCAGAGCCAAGGCAAGCUUAAUUCUCUACAUGCACAGCAUGCAAGAGAGUACCUGCUCCCUGACAAAGGACAAGGAGGAGGACAUCUCAUAUCCAUUGAUAAACAGAAACUACUGCAAAUAUAAAAAGACAAUUCUGGGAGAAGGUGUCAAGAAAUCUAAUGGGUUAACAACGUUCAGGACAUUUAAUCUUCAGCUGUGCCUUGUUUGUGCCAGCUGGAAUGGUAUAAGUCAUAAAAAG